rnacentral:rRNA from 1 species
ACGGAGGAUGCGAGCGUUAUCCGGAUUUAUUGGGUUUAAAGGGUGCGUAGGUGGACUGUUUAGUCAGUGGUGAAAUGCUGAUGCUCAACGUUAGCAUUGCCGUUGAAACUGACAGUCUUGAGAGUGAUUGAGGCAGGCGGAAUGUGUGGUGUAGGGGUGAAAAACAUACAUAUCACGCAGAACCCCAAGGGCGAAGGCAUCUCACAAAGCCACAACUGACACUGAAGCACGAAAGCGUGGGGAUCAAACAG